rnacentral:rRNA from 1 species
CUACGGGAGGCAGCAGUCGGGAAUUUUGGGCAAUGGGCGAAAGCCUGACCCAGCAACGCCGCGUGAAGGAUGAAAUCCCUCGGGAUGUAAACUUCGCAAGAACAGGAAGAAUAAGUAAGGGUUAAUAUCCCUUGCGAUGACGGUACUGUUUGUAAGCUCCGGCUAACUCCGUGCCAGCAGCCGCGGUAAUACGGGGGGAGCAAGCGUUGUUCGGAUUUACUGGGCGUAAAGGGCGCGUAGGCGGCCACCGCAAGUCGGUUGUGAAAUCUCUGGGCUUAACUCAGAAAGGUCAACCGAUACUGCGGGGCUAGAGUGCAGAAGGGGCAACUGGAAUUCUCGGUGUAGCGGUGAAAUGCGUAGAUAUCGAGAGGAACACCUGCGGCGAAGGCGGGUUGCUGGGCUGACACUGACGCUGAUGCGCGAAAGCUAGGGGAGCGAACGGGAUUAGAUACCCCGGU